AACUCCGAGUGAGCGGGAAAAGCUCAAAUUUGUAAUCUGGCGGGCUCCGCCCGUCCGAGUUGUAAUCUAGAGAAGUGCUAUCCGCGCUGGACCGUGUAUAAGUCUCCUGGAACGGAGCGUCAUAGAGGGUGAGAAUCCCGUCUUUGACACGGACUCCCAGUGCUUUGUGAUGCGCUCUCAAAGAGUCGCGUUGUUUGGGAAUGCAGCGCUAAAUGGGUGGUAAAUUCCAUCUAAAGCUAAAUAUAGGCGAGAGACCGAUAGCGAACAAGUACCGUGAGGGAAAGAUGAAAAGAACUUUGGAAAGAGAGUGAAACAGUACGUGAAAUUGCUGAAAGGGAAACGCUUGAGGUCAGUCGCGUCGGCCGGGGAUCAGCCUUGCUCUUUUGCUUGGUGUACUUCCCGGCCGACGGGCCAGCAUCAGUUUCGAUCGGCGGAAAAAGGCCAGGGGAAUGUGGCACCUUCGGGUGUGUUAUAGCCCCUGGUCAUAUACGUCGGUCGGGACUGAGGAACUCAGCACGCCGCAAGGCCGGGUCUUUGACCACGUUCGUGCUUAGGAUGCUGGCAUA
rnacentral:rRNA from 1 species